GAUGAACGCUAGCUACAGGCUUAACACAUGCAAGUCGAGGGGAAACGGCAUUGAGUGCUUGCACUCUUUGGACGUCGACCGGCGCACGGGCGAGUAACGCGUAUCCAACCUUCCCAUUACUGUGGGAUACCCUGCCGAAAGGCAGACUAAUACCGCAUAGUCUUCGAUGACGGCAUCAGAUUUGAAGUAAAGAUUUAUCGGUAAUGGAUGGGGAUGCGUCUGAUUAGCUUGUUGGCGAGGUAACGGCCCACCAAGGCUACGAUCAGUAGGGGUUCUGAGAGGAAGUUCCCCCACAAUGGAGCUGAGACACGGUCCAAACUGCUACGGGAGGGAGCAGUGAGGUAUAUUGGGGAAUGGACGGAAGUCUGAACCAGCCAAGUAGCGGGCAGGAUGCCGGGCCUAUGGGUUGUAAACUGCUUUGGUAUGGGGAUAGAGUGAGGGACGUGUCCCUAUUUGCAGGUACCAUAAGAAUAAGCACCGGCUAAUUCCGUG
rnacentral:rRNA from 1 species